rnacentral:miRNA from 1 species
UUCCUGUUGGCCGGUGAAAGAGUACACUCUCACCAACCGGGAGGAAUCCCUCUUGGCUGCUGAGAGCUAUACACCCUCUCGGCCACUGAGAGUAUACACUCUCAACGGCGGAGAGGGAUUCCUCCCGGCCGGUGAGAGUGUACACUCUCAUUGGCCGAGAGGGA